UAUACAUAAUAUCUCCGAGUCUGGCAGGCCUUGUUAAAAAAGCAUGGCGGUCAGGCCGACAGGGUGUAGGGGGAAACUCCUGCGCCUCCCAUUGUGGAAAGGAGAAGAUAGCUUUGAUAA
rnacentral:ncRNA from 2 species